rnacentral:rRNA from 1 species
GGCGGCGUGCUUAACACAUGCAAGUCGAACGGAAAGGCCCUUCGGGGUACUCGAGUGGCGAACGGGUGAGUAACACGUGGGUGAUCUGCCCUGCACUUUGGGAUAAGCCUGGGAAACUGGGUCUAAUACCGAAUAUGACCACGCUCUUCAUGGGGUGUGGUGGAAAGCUUUUGCGGUGUGGGAUGGGCCCGCGGCCUAUCAGCUUGUUGGUGGGGUAAUGGCCUACCAAGGCGACGACGGGUAGCCGGCCUGAGAGGGUGACCGGCCACACUGGGACUGAGAUACGGCCCAGA